ACCGCAGAAAUGGAAUAUAGUAAAACCCAAGAGAACCCAGAUCGGAACCACUACAGAAAUCAAACCCACCCACCCACAUGUCGAGCGGUUCGCCAAGUGGAAUUGAGUGCACACAUUGCAAAUAUUCCCGUCUUGUGUCGCGAUUCGCUUCAGUUGCAUUCGACAAAGGAACCACUUUGGCUGCAAGUGCAGUGAUGUGCGCUUGGCUUGCCGCCCACAACAUGGAUAGUUCAAGCCGAAAUAUGCAGUUUUUAGCUGUAAUUUCUGGACAGAACUGCUGUUGCAGUAGCUAUUUCGACAGCAACUGCAAUUCAAUUUCCAAUGCACACGGUUCCCGCUCAUUUUCCUCCCCCGCUGAUAACAAAUAAAAGCGCAUCCAACGCGGCGUAGCAUAGAUAAGCACACUAAGUGCACACAAAAUGAAAUAAAUAAAUAAUAAAAAGUUUUUCUAUUUUAUGACCAUCUACCUAAACUAAAUACAUUUCAGCUAAGUCAUACAAAUCAAGAUAUAAAUACCAAAAUUUUAGAUUUUGGUUCACCCCUUUUGCUUCCAAUUGGAGCUGGGCAUCACUGGCCGCAACGUUUCUGAUAAGAUUCGAGCGCCGCCGCGCUGCUUAUUAUUUACCGUUUGAAAGCCAGAGGGUGGAGAGCGCACUUAUCAAUAUUAAGCCCAAAAGCUGAGUCAUAAAGCAUAUUCUUAUAGGAAGAAAUCAACGGUGAUCGUCCCUGCAAAGAAAAACAACUACAAAGCCAAUUCUGUUUUUGCCCCCAACACAACAACAAUAAUAGCAACAACAACAACAAGAAUAACAACAAAUGUGUGGCGGUCGCAGCUAUUGAUGAAGAAGAAGCAGCAUCACAGCACAAAUACAGGCAAACAUUUUUUCUUCUCUUUCACACAAACGUAAUUGCACUUAAAAACCGAAUAUUCUGUGGGGAAAAUCGUUGAAAACGGCCUGGAAGCUACUCACGC